rnacentral:rRNA from 1 species
UACGUAGGUGGCAAGCGUUGUCCGGAUUUAUUGGGCGUAAAGCGAGCGCAGGCGGUUCCUUAAGUCUGAUGUGAAAGCCCACGGCUCGACCGUGGAAGGUCAUUGGAAACUGGGGAACGUUGAGUGCAGAAGAGGAGAGUGGAAUUCCAUGUGUAGCGGUGAAAUGCGUAGAUAUAUGGAGGAACACCAGUGGCGAAGGCGACUCUCUGGUCUGUAACUGACGCUGAGGCUCGAAAGCGUGGGGAGCAAACAGGAUUAGAUA